rnacentral:rRNA from 1 species
GACGGAGGAUGCAAGUGUUAUCCGGAAUCACUGGGCGUAAAGCGUCUGUAGGUUGUUUAAAAAGUCUGCAGUUAAAGGUUGAAGCUUAACUUCAAAAAUGCCGUAGAAACUUUUAAACUAGAGGAUGGUAGGGGUAGAGGGAAUUUCCAGUGGAGCGGUGAAGUGUGUAGAUAUUGGAAAGACCACCGAUGGCGAAGGCACUCUACUGGGCCAUGACUGACACUGAGAGACGAAAGCUAGGGGAGCAAAUGGG